rnacentral:rRNA from 1 species
GCAGCAGUGGGGAAUAUUGCACAAUGGGCGAAAGCCUGAUGCAGCUAUGCCGCGUGUAUGAAGAAGGCCUUAGGGUUGUAAAGUACUUUCAUCGGGGAGGAAAAAACAAAACUAAUAAUUUUAUUUCUUGACGUUACCCGAAAAAGAAGCACCGGCUAACUCCGUGCCAGCAGCCGCGGUAAUACGGAGGGUGCUAGCGUUAAUCAGAAUUACUGGGCGUAAAGAGCACGUAGGUGGUUUUUUUAAGUCAGAUGUGAAAUCCCUGGGCUUAACCUAGGAACUGCAUUUUGAAACUGAAAUACUAGAGUAUCGUAGAGGGAGGUAGAAUUCUAGGUGUAGCGGUGAAAUGCGUAGAUAUCUGGAGGAAUACCUGUGGCGAAAGCGGCCUCCUAAACGAAUACUGACACUGAGGUGCGAAAGCGUGGGGAGCAAACAGGGAUUAGAUACC